rnacentral:rRNA from 1 species
GAAUGCUGACAUAAGUAACGAUAAAGCGGGUGAAAAGCCCGCUCGCCGGAAGACCAAGGGUUCCUGUCCAACGUUAAUCGGGGCAGGGUGAGUCGACCCCUAAGGCGAGGCCGAAAGGCGUAGUCGAUGGGAAACAGGUUAAUAUUCCUGUACUUGGUGUUACUGCGAAGGGGGGACGGAGAAGGCUAUGUUGGCCGGGCGACGGUUGUCCCGGUUUAAGCGUGUAGGCUGGUUUUCCAGGCAAAUCCGGAAAAUCAAGGCUGAGGCGUGAUGACGAGGCACUACGGUGCUGAAGCGACAAAUGCCCUGCUUCCAGGAAAAGCCUCUAAGCAUCAGGUAACAUCAAAUCGUACCCCAAACCGACACAGGUGGUCAGGUAGAGAAUACCAAGGCGCUUGAGAGAACUCGGGUGAAGGAACUAGGCAAAAUGGUGCCGUAACUUCGGGAGAAGGCACGCUGAUAUGUAGGUGAAGCGACUUGCUCGUGGAGCUGAAAUCAGUCGAAGAUACCAGCUGGCUGCAACUGUUUAUUAAAAACACAGCACUGUGCAAACACGAAAGUGGACGUAUACGGUGUGACGCCUGCCCGGUGCCGGAAGGUUAAU